UAUAUAUGUAUGUAUGUUUUUCUGUGCCUGUGUGCCUUAAAUAAUGGCUCCAACUGCAGGAAAAGCUCCGUCGUGCAGAGCUCGUUAAACGUUGAUUUGCGUG